GGCUCAGUAGUUUAGCGGUAUGAUACGUCCUUCGGGCGUGCCCGAAAUGUGCAACAUUUCCUGUCUGGACGUGACCCGGGUUCGAUUCCCGGCUGAGCCC
rnacentral:tRNA from 1 species